ensembl:lncRNA
UAUGGGGUGCUGUGGGGCUCCCUAUGGGGCUGUAUGGGUCCCUGUGGGGCUCUAUGGGGCGCUGUGGGGCCGUAUGGGUCCCUGUGGGGCUCUAUGGGGUGCUGUGGGGCUCCCUAUGGGGCUGUAUGGGUCCCUGUGGGGCUCUAUGGGUCCCUGUGGGGCUCCCUAUGGGGCUCUAUGGGUCCCUGAGGGGCUCUAUGGGGCGCUGUGGGGCCGUAUGGGUCCCUGUGGGGCUCUAUAGGGCGCUGUGGGUCUCCCUGUGGGGCUCUAUGGGUCCCUGUGGGGCUCUAUGAGGCUCAAUAGGUCCCUAUGGGGCUCUAUGGGGCGCUGUGGGUCUCCCUGUGGGGCUCACUGGGUCCCUAUGGGGCUGUAUGUGUCCCUGUGGGGCUCUAUGAGGCUCAAUAGGUCCCUGUGGGGCUCUAUGGGGCGCUGUGGGGCCGUAUGGGUCCCUGUGGGGCUCUAUGGGGUGCUGUGGGGAUCCCUAUGGGGCUCUGUGGGUCCCUGUGGGGCUCUAUGGGGCUCAAUAGGUCCCUAUGGGGCUCUAUGGGGCGCUGUGGGUCUCCCUGUGGGGCUGUAUGGGUCCCUGUGGGGCUCUAUGGGGUGCUGUGGGGCUCCCUAUGGGGCUGUAUAGGUCCCUGUGGGGCUCUGUGGGUCCUUGUGGGGCUCUAUGCGUCCCUGUGGGGCUCUGUGAGUCCUUAUGGGGCUCUGUGGGUCCCUGUGGGGCUCUCUGGGUCCCUAUGGGGUGCUGUGGGGCUCCCUAUGGGGCGCUGUGGGUCUCCCUGUGGGGCUCUAUGGGUCCCUGUGGGGCUCUAUGGGGUGCUGUGGGGCUCCCUAUGGGGCUCUAUGGGUCCCUGUGGGGCUCCCUAUGGGGCUGUAUGGGUCCCUGUGGGGCUCAAUGGGGCGCUGUGGGGCCGUAUGGGUCCCUGUGGGGCUCUAUGGGGUGCUGUGCGGAUCCCUAUGGGGCUGUAUGGAUCCCUGUGGGGCUCUAUGAGGCUCAAUAGGUCCCUAUGGGGCGCUGUGGGUCUCCCUGUGGGGCUCUAUGGGUCCCUAUGGGGCUCUAUGGGAUGCUGUGGGGCUGUAUGGGUCCCUGUGGGGCUGUAUGGGGUGCUGUGGGGAUCCCUAUGGGGCUGUAUGGGUCCCUGUGGGGCUCUAUGAGGCUCAAUAGAUCCCUAUGGGGCUCUAUGGGGCGCUGUGGGUCUCCCUGUGGGGCGCUGUGGGUCCCUAUGGGGCUCUAUGGGGUGCUGUGGGGCUCCCUAUGGGGUUGUAUGGGUCCCUAUGGAGCUCUGUGGGUCCUUGUGGGGCUCUAUGGAUCCCUAUGGGGCUCUGUGGGUCUCUGUGGGUCCUUAUGGGGCUCUGUGGGUCCCUAUGGGGCUCUAUGGGUCCCUAUGGGGCUCUGUGGCUCCUUAUGGGGCUCUGUGGGUCCCUGUGGGGCUCUCUGGGUCCCUAUGGAGCUCUGUGGGUCCUUGUGGGGCUCUAUGGAUCCCUAUGGGGCUCUGUGGGUCUCUGUGGGUCCUUAUGGGGCUCUGUGGGUCCCUAUGGGGCUCUAUGGGUCCCUAUGGGGCUCUGUGGCUCCUUAUGGGGCUCUGUGGGUCCCUGUGGGGCUCUGUGGGUCACUAUGGGGCUCUGUGGGUCCCUGUGGGGCUCUAUGGGUCCCCGUGGGGCUCUGUGGGGUCUAUGGGUCCCUAUGGGGCUCUGUGGGUCCCUGUGGGGCUCUAUGGGUCCUUAUGGGGCACUGUGGGUCCCCGUGGGUUCCUGUGGGGCUCUGUGGCUCCCUAUGGGGCUCUAUGGGUCCCUGUGGGGCUGUGUGGGUCCCUAUGGGUGCGUAUGGGGCGCUGUGGGGCAGCCCGGGGGUCGCGGCGCCCCCCAACUCACCGCAGGACGUAAAGGGAGAGCGGCUCCAGCAGCAGCUCUGCCCACUCCUGGGGGUCCCCAACGCUGCGCAGCCGCAUCACCGCCGCCGACAGCAGAGAGAGCCCCGCGAUGGUGCAGCCACAGAACUGGG